rnacentral:rRNA from 1 species
UACGGAGGGUGCAAGCGUUAUCCGGAUUCACUGGGUUUAAAGGGUGCGUAGGUGGGUUGGUAAGUCAGUGGUGAAAUCUCCGUGCUUAACAUGGAAACUGCCAUUGAUACUACUGAUCUUGAAUUUUCAGGAGGUAAGCGGAAUAUGUCAUGUAGCGGUGAAAUGCUUAGAUAUGACAUAGAACACCAAAUUGCGAAGGCAGCUUACUACAGGAAUAUGACACUGAUGCACGAAAGCGUGGGGAUCAAACAGG